rnacentral:tRNA from 1 species
CGGGGUGUAGCGAAGUAGGGUAUCGCAUCUGUUUUGGGUACAGAAGGUCGUAGGUUCAAAGCCUUCCACCCUGA